UUACGGCCGUAUCACGAUUAAACAUAGGUUUCCGUACGAUCACCGAAGUUAAGCAACGUCGAACCUGGUCAGUACCUAGAUGGAUGACCGCUUAGAUAUACCAGGUGCUGUAA